rnacentral:piRNA from 1 species
UGAAAAAAUUUGGGUAACUCG